UACGGGGGGGGGGUAAGCGUUGUUCGGAAUUACUGGGCGUAAAGGGCUCGUAGGCGGCCAACUAAGUCAUACGUGAAAUCCCUCAGCUUAACUGGGGGAACUGCGUGUGAUACUGGAUGGCUUGGAUUUGGGAGAGGGAUGCGGAAUUCCAGGUGUAGCGGUGAAAUGCGUAGAUAUCUGGAGGAACACCGGUGGCGAAGGCGGCAUCCUGGACCAAUAUUGACGCUGAGGAGCGAAAGCCAGGGGAGCAA
rnacentral:rRNA from 1 species